rnacentral:rRNA from 1 species
GGCGGACGGGUGAGUAAUGCUUAGGAAUCUGCCUAUUAGUGGGGGACAACAUCUCGAAAGGGAUGCUAAUACCGCAUACGUCCUACGGGAGAAAGCAGGGGACCUUCGGGCCUUGCGCUAAUAGAUGAGCCUAAGUCGGAUUAGCUAGUUGGUGGGGUAAAGGCCUACCAAGGCGACGAUCUGUAGCGGGUCUGAGAGGAUGAUCCGCCACACUGGGACUGAGACACGGCCCAGACUCCUACGGGAGGCAGCAGUGGGGAAUAUUGGACAAUGGGGGGAACCCUGAUCCAGCCAUGCCGCGUGUGUGAAGAAGGCCUUUUGGUUGUAAAGCACUUUAAGCGAGGAGGAGGCUACCGAGAUUAAUACUCUUGGAUAGUGGACGUUACUCGCAGAAUAAGCACCGGCUAACUCUGUGCCAGCAGCCGCGGUAAUACAGAGGGUGCAAGCGUUAAUCGGAUUUACUGGGCGUAAAGCGCGCGUAGGUGGCCAAUUAAGUCAAAUGUGAAAUCCCCGAGCUUAACUUGGGAAUUGCAUUCGAUACUGGUUGGCUAGAGUAUGGGAGAGGAUGGUAGAAUUCCAGGUGUAGCGGUGAAAUGCGUAGAGAUCUGGAGGAAUACCGAUGGCGAAGGCAGCCAUCUGGCCUAAUACUGACACUGAGGUGCGAAAGCAUGGGGAGCAAACAGGAUUAGAUACCCUGGUAGUCCAUGCCGUAAACGAUGUCUACUAGCCGUUGGGGCCUUUGAGGCUUUAGUGGCGCAGCUAACGCGAUAAGUAGACCGCCUGGGGAGUACGGUCGCAAGACUAAAACUCAAAUGAAUUGACGGGGGCCCGCACAAGCGGUGGAGCAUGUGGUUUAAUUCGAUG